UGGCGAACGGGUGAGUAAUAUAUCGGAACGUACCCAGUAGCGGGGGAUAACUACUCGAAAGAGUAGCUAAUACCGCAUACGCCCUACGGGGGAAAGGGGGGGAUCGCAAGACCUCUCACUAUUGGAGCGGCCGAUAUCGGAUUAGCUAGUUGGUGGGGUAAAGGCUCACCAAGGCGACGAUCCGUAGCUGGUUUGAGAGGACGACCAGCCACACUGGGACUGAGACACGGCCCAGACUCC
rnacentral:rRNA from 1 species